rnacentral:rRNA from 1 species
UACAGAGGUCUCAAGCGUUGUUCGGAUUCAUUGGGCGUAAAGAGUUCGUAGGCGGCGCAGAAAGUAGGGUGUGAAAGCCCUCGGCUCAACCGAGGAAUUGCGCUCUAAACUACUGUGCUUGAGGAAGCUAGAGGUGAGCAGAACUGAUGGUGGAGCGGUGAAAUGCGUUGAUAUCAUCAGGAAUACCGGAGGCGAAGGCGGCUCACUGGGGCUUUUCUGACGCUGAGGAACGAAAGCCAGGGUAGCGAACGGG